GGCAGUUAGAGGCGAUGAAGGACGUGUAAGUCUGCGAAAAGCUGUGGUGAGCCGACAAAAUGCAUUUGAGCCACAGAUGUCCGAAUGGGGAAACCCACCUGUUUACAGGUAUCGUUAACUGAAUACAUAGGUUAACGAGGCAAACGAGGGGAACUGAAACAUCUAAGUACCCGGAGGAAAGGAAAUCAAUAUGAUACUCCCCUAGUAGCGGCGAGCGAACGGGGAGCAGCCCUUAAGCUGUUUAGAAUUUAGUGGAAUCCUUUGGGAAGAGGAGCGAUACAAGGUGAUAGCCCUGUACACGACGGAUUCUUUACAGUGAAAUCGAGUAGGUCGGGACACGUGUUAUCUUGACUGAAUAUGGGGGGACCAUCCUCCAAGGCUAAAUACUCCUAACUGACCGAUAGUGAACCAGUACCGUGAGGGAAAGGUGAAAAGCACCCCGACGAGGGGAGUGAAACAGACCCUGAAACCGGAUGCCUACAAACAGUUGGAGGGCUUCGUGCCUGACAGCGUACCUUUUGUAUAAUGGGUCAGCGACUUAAUUUAACGAGCAAGCUUAAGCCGAUAGGUGUAGGCGCAGCGAAAGCGAGUCUGAAUAGGGCGAUUGAGUACGUGGGAUGAGACCCGAAGCCGAGUGAUCUAGCCAUGGGCAGGUUGAAGGUGCGGUAACACGCACUGGAGGACCGAACCCACGUCUGUUGAAAAAGACGGGGAUGACCUGUGGCUAGGGGUGAAAGGCCAAUCAAACUCGGAGAUAGCUGGUUCUCC
rnacentral:rRNA from 1 species